AUUGAACGCUGGCGGCAGGCCUAACACAUGCAAGUCGAGCGGAUGAAGAGAGCUUGCUCUCUGAUUUAGCGGCGGACGGGUGAGUAAUGCCUAGGAAUCUGCCUUGUAGUGGGGGAUAACGUCCGGAAACGGGCGCUAAUACCGCAUACGUCCUACGGGAGAAAGCAGGGGACCUUCGGGCCUUGCGCUAUCAGAUGAGCCUAGGUCGGAUUAGCUAGUUGGUGAGGUAAUGGCUCACCAAGGCUACGAUCCGUAACUGGUCUGAGAGGAUGAUCAGGCACACCGGAACUGAGACACGGUCCAGACUCCUACGGGAGGCAGCAGUGGGGAAUAUUGGACAAUGGGCGAAAGCCUGAUCCAGCCAUGCCGCGUGUGUGAAGAAGGUCUUCGGACUGUAAAGCACUUUAAGUUGGGAGGAAGGGCAGUAAGUUAAUACCUUGCUGUUUUGACGUUACCGACAGAAUAAGCACCGGCUAACUUCGUGCCAGCCGCCGCAGUAAGAC
rnacentral:rRNA from 1 species